UUAAAUGUAAUUAUAAAAAACAAGUGAUUAAUAGUUAAGUUCUUUAAAGCUAAAUAAUUUGGCGGUAUUUUAAACUUUUCAGAGGAACCUGUUCUGUAAUUGAUAAUCCACGAUAGAAUUUACCUUUAUUAGAAAUUUUUAUAUCGUCGUUGUGAAAUAUUUUAAAAGAAUUUAAUAUUUAAAAUUUUAAUUAGAAAGUAAAUCAGAUCAAGGUGAAGUUUAUAUAGAGGAAGAAAUGGGUUACAAUAAAUUUUAUUUAUGGAUUUUUAAUUGAAAAAUUGAUUUAAAAUUGGAUUUGAAAGUAAUUAAUUAAACUUUUUUUUAAUGAUUUAGCUCUAAAAUAUGC
rnacentral:rRNA from 1 species